GUUUUUUUUUUAGGGAAGUUCAUUUUUUCGUUUUUCAUGCCCUCCAAACAUCUGCAACAGACAAUGACUUCAGUCCAUUGAUCUCUGGAAACAAAGACUUUCAAAUCUGUCAGACUGAGGCUUUUCAGCGACGAACACUCAGUGAUUGUUUUGACCUUUGCUCUGAGGAAACAUCAGAGCUUCAAGUGACAGGUUGGCACAUCACCUGCAUCCCAGCAGAUAGACCACAAAAAUAUCAAGGAGAUCUUCUCAAGCAUCCAGGGGAGAGGGCUUCAAACAGAACAAUACUGUCGCCCCCAGGGGAGGAAAGUGAUCACGCUGGUGACGUGCUUGUGUCAACAUUUGCCCGCACAGUCGGCUCGCUUGCUGGAUGCCUGAACCCCCCCUGUGAUGCCGAUACCUAUCGGAGCUAUUUUUAACUGGCGGUGGGGUGAAGUGUGCGGAGGUUCCUGGAGGUUCGGGGAAACAGACGUUUGAAGGACGUGAUUGUGCAAAUGAGAGGAAGAGGUGGAGGAGUUCAUCAUCCGUCUUCCUGUAAGCGAACAUCGGCCCUGUAAAACACAGUCGGUACAGCAAUAGGACAUGCGGUUAUUAAUACAGAGGAGGGAGGUGCGCUCGCCUCGACAAGCGCCGACACGCAGACGCAUUACCUCCUCGACUGCUAUGGCAAAGAUGUAAGCUGCAUUCCUCUGCCCAGAACUUGUCUCGAAUGUGGAGCAGAUAUUUCUUCACUCCCAGCUGAGGUUUCCAGGCGUAGCGCUCCAACUUUAGACCUUUUCAGACGUCCCAAAUCACUGCAACCUUAAGUCACCUGGUCACUUUUGACCAUGGUGACGUGAAGAAGCUUUCUCUGCUCCUUCAAGAGGUGUGUCCCUCACACCAAGCCAAGAGGGCAUGCUCUUCAUCUCUGGGUCCAUGUACACAACCAGAUUCUCUCUCUGUUUUUCCACUUUAAUUUUUUUACUUUAUUUCACGUCUUUUCUGUAUUUGACUUCUUCUUCUUCUUCUUCUUCUUUUAAGUCCUUCCUCAAGCAGAUUUUUUGUUUUCAUAAAUAGAUUCCUUUUUAGAAGUCAUUAGUUUCUUUUAGCAACCAUUCUGAGCUGUCCGCUAAGUUUGUUCCAGAAAAAUGUGUCAGUCAUUUUGAAAGAGGUCCCAGUUGGCAGUAGAACCUGUGACCAGUAAAUAAUGAUGGCAGAUGUCGGCAGAACGGACUGGCGAAGAACAAAAGCUCAAUGGUGACACAGUCAAGUCUCCGAGAGGAAGAGGAUGGUGAUGACCGUGGUGGAUCAGACAAUCCUGCUCUGAAGUUAUUUGUAUUUUCACAGCAGACUCAGUUGAUGCUAAUGUGCGACCAGAUGAUAAUUCUAGCUUCAACUUGUGGAGACCUUUAAACCCUGGUUGAAUUAGCCACCGAGUCACUCGCUCCCAUCCUGAGAGAACAUCCAUCUGCCUUCCGCUCAGCGGCCCGACAUCAGCAGCCCUGGGCCACACUUUCACCACAUCUUCCUCAGACAUGCCUCACUCAAGCGCUGCAACAAGGUAAUUUGUCAGACUUCAAACAGCCGAUAGCUGUAAUGACUUCAGCCCCCCGAGCUCCAAAAGGGCCGCCGCACACUUGACGUGCAGUCUCGCCGUUCCACGCUGCUUUUAGACUCCUGUCUUCAGUUACAGAGUCAGGAUCUACCAGGGAGAGAAUAAAUCAUUUCAGGGAAGUCUGUAUGAUCUUCUGUUCUUCUCAUCAGCCUCUGUCUGCCCCCUCCCCAAAUAUUGUCCCUAGAUCACAGUGGCUGGCAAUGAUGGCGUCCAUCUACAAUCCCAGUCCAACUAGAACAUGCAACGCUGCAGGAUUUUAAACUGCAUUGGAAGAAGGAGUCUUUUAGGACUGUCUAUUAAAUGUCUAAAACGAAGAUGAUAUGUAGAGUCACAGGCAUGUAGCAAUGCAAAAGCAACAAUGAAAAAGGAUUUUACAAGAGAAAACGUGGUUGAGAAUGGGAUGUGAAUACCAUGGCAGAAAUGUGACAGUUGUGCUGGUUGGAAAUGUGGAGGUGGUUCAGCAUGGUCCGGUUGUUGGGCAGCCUUCUCUUCCUACCUCUGUCUGAUGACACACUCUUCGAUGAACCAUGCUGCGGAAUCUCACCAGUCACCCAUCGGUCUUGAUUUACUACUGUAGUAAUGUUGGUGCAACACAUACUUGGGCUCGACGGGAACGGACUGGGCAAGAGCCCAAACAUCCCUAUCAAAGCGGGAGGGUGUGGACGCGCGAGAUACCAGCCUGCCUUCACUUUGUACAUAGUACAUCUGGAGCGGGUCGCAGCUGGCCCCUCCCUCAAUAACAUCUGUGAAGUCAGACAGGUAGUUAGUGGAUUUGGUCACGGAUGGAUUUUCUUUCUCUCCUCUGAGUUUCUCCUUUUAUUUCGGGCCGACAAAGCCCGAGGCUUGUGUUUCACUGAUUACAGAGUCAUUUGAACAGCGGUGUG